AGCGAACGCUGGCGGCAGGCUUAACACAUGCAAGUCGAGCGGGCAUCCUUGUGGUGUCAGCGGCAGACGGGUGAGUAACGCGUGGGAACGUGCCCUUCGGUUCGGAAUAACUCAGGGAAACUUGAGCUAAUACCGGAUACGCCCUUUUGGUGAAAAAAGAAAAUCUGCCUGAAGAAAAGCUCGCGUCUGAUUAACUAGUUGGUAGGGUAAAUGCCUACCAAGGCGAUAAUCAGUAGCUGGUCUGAGAGGACGGUCAGCCACACUGAAACUGAGAUACGGUUCAGACUCCUACGGGAGGCAGCAGUGAGGAAUUUUCUGCAAUGGGCGAAAGCCUGACAGAGCAAUACCGCGUGAAGGAGGAAGGCCCAUGGGUUGUAAACUUCUUUUCUCAAGGAAGAAGAAUGACGGUACUUGAGGAAUAAGCACCGGCUAACUCUGUGCCAGCAGUCGCCGUAAAAC
rnacentral:rRNA from 1 species